rnacentral:rRNA from 1 species
GGAACGUGCCCAGUAGCGGGGGAUAACUGGCCGAAAGGUCAGCUAAUACCGCAUACGCCCUACGGGGGAAAGGGGGGGAUUCUUCGGAACCUCUCACUAUUGGAGCGGCCGAUAUCGGAUUAGCUAGUUGGUGGGGUAAUGGCCUACCAAGGCGACGAUCCGUAGCUGGUUUGAGAGGACGACCAGCCACACUGGGACUGAGACACGGCCCAGACUCCUACGGGAGGCAGCAGUGGGGAAUUUUGGACAAUGGGGGAAACCCUGAUCCAGCCAUCCCGCGUGUGCGAUGAAGGCCUUCGGGUUGUAAAGCACUUUUGUCAGGGAAGAAAAGGUUCUGGCUAAUACCCGGAACUGAUGACGGUACCUGAAGAAUAAGCACCGGCUAACUACGUGCCAGCAGCCGCGGUAAUACGUAGGGUGCAAGCGUUAAUCGGAAUUACUGGGCGUAAAGCGUGCGCAGGCGGUUCGGAAAGAAGGAUGUGAAAUCCCAGGGCUCAACCUUGGAACUGCAUUCUUAACUACCGAACUAGAGUAUGUCAGAGGGGGGUAGAAUUCCGCGUGUAGCAGUGAAAUGCGUAGAUAUGCGGAGGAAUACCGAUGGCGAAGGCAGCCCC